UACGUAGGGUGCGAGCGUUGUCCGGAAUUAUUGGGCGUAAAGGGCUCGUAGGCGGUUUGUCGCGUCGGGAGUGAAAUCCACUGGCUUAACUGGUGGCUUGCUUUCGAUACGGGCAGACUAGAGUGCGGUAGGGGAGAUUGGAAUUCCUGGUGUAGCGGUGGAAUGCGCAGAUAUCAGGAGGAACACCAAUGGCGAAGGCAGAUCUCUGGGCCUGUACUGACGCUGAGGAGCGAAAGCGUGGGGAGCGAACAGG
rnacentral:rRNA from 1 species